rnacentral:miRNA from 1 species
GUACUUAAUGUGAGACUCAUC